UCCCUGGUUUCCUUGGCAUCCUUCUUCCCCUCCGGGCAGCAUGAGCUCCGAGUGCAGCAGCUACCUCAACACCAACGGCGUGUUGGUGGACGCCUUCUUCUGCCCCAAAGCCGGAAGUGACGCCGCCGCCGGGUUCUGCUGCGGAUUUAAUGACCUGAAGUAUUGCUGCGAUGACCCCGACAGCUUCUACCCCGACGACUACGCGUACAUGUGGUGGCUGAGCAUCUGGGCUCUCGUUGGCCUGUCUUUUGCAGCCGUGGUCCUCCUUGCCUUCCUCGUCACCGUGUGUGUUCUUUGCUACCUUGUCAUUGUCACCAAACCCAGUCGUCUUGACAACAACAUCCUCUUGCGACCACCAGAAGGCGAGGGAGCCGGUGUGUCGAGAGCAACGUGCGUCUCCGGUCCACAGGGUUUCAGACAACACUUCAUGAGCAGAAAGCUUCAUUCUGACAACCAGUCCGCGGAUCCGGAGCGCCUGUUCCAGAGAUGCUUCACAGCGACCGCGACAAGUGUCGGAGUGGAGAGACCCUCAUAAUCACCAAAGGGCCUGUACAUUCAACAAAAGACUGACUGGUUGAGGAGGGAACAUCUUUUUUUGUUUUCAUAAACAGAUACCAUGUACUUCACACUGUGUGUAUUCAAUACACGGGACAAACACACCACAUGUACUGACUACACCCGGUGUUCCAGCAAAUCUAUACUCCAGACCUGGGCAAAUUAAGGACCGGGGGCCACAUGCGGCUUCUCAAUCUGGCCCGCCGGACAUUCCCAAAUAUUUGUUUUAGUUUUUUAAGAUGGAAACUCUAGCUGGCAUUAUGAUGUGCAAUGAUGUUUUCAAAUGACCGUAAGUCCUGAACUAUACAAAGUAUUUCAAUGGUUUGUGUCAGGUUCCAACACUGAUGACAUCUAUUAAACAAGACAAGAAGCAAAGAAUCCAACUCAAUUGAGGAGAAACGUGUGUCACCCAUGCUCUGGCGAAAGAUUGUACGCCACCUCUUUUUAUUUGGAUUUUCCCUGUUGACAUAACAACAGCUGUUUCUAAAGGAAUGGGGAGUAUGUAAUCAGUCAUUGUUUUCGGUCACAUUACCACAAAAUAAAAAGAUGCCUCGGGCUUGGGCUAGUCCUGGAUUCAGCUUGAGCAGGUCUUCGAUGACAAUAGAUAACCCCCUCCCGUAUCCUCCCAUCGUACACAAUGGAAUUUUCCAAGCCUUUGCUUGGUGCAACAAAGACAACCUCUUGUCUGUUCAUUGGGAAGUUUAGAGAACGGAAAGUUUGUUGAUAAUUUACAUACAAUUUUUCUGACAGUAGGAAUCUGCGCUUUUGCAUGAUAUACUAGUUAC